ensembl:lncRNA
AGGCACACUUCCCACAGGUUCAGACGGAGUGCAGCCCCAUCCCUGACAAGCUCGUCUGCCCAAACUGUGCAACCAGCCCUUGUUGCAAGGAAUAGUUCUGCUUUUCCCAGGACUUACUUCUCUGAAGUCUUUGAGCUCUCCUCGUCUCACGCAGCACAGUAAGAUCAUGGGAGAAGAGAGUGGAGCCCACCCCAGUAGAACCACUUCACUCAUAAGGACACAGAACAAAUGAGUGGGACAGCAGACCAUACACGUAUUUCUCAUUCAACUAAGCCAUAAGGUUUUUUUUGCCUAGUAGUACCCGUUGGGUUUCAAGCAGCAACAAAGGCCCAGUAUAAAUCCAGUAUUUGGUCAGUAAGGUUGGAAUUCUCAAAAACACUGAUGAAGGCAGUGUUUUUAUUAAAAAUAAAGCGAAUUAGUCUUUACUUCAUUAGCAAAACCAGAUUUUACUUCAGCAAUAGGACCGAGCUUGGCUCCAGCACAGGAAUGAAGAGGUGCUGGAACCUUGGGUCCCUGGUUGCCCUUCAUUACAGCCUGCACAAGAUGAACAGCCUGCUGAUUUUUGGCUGAAGACAGGAGGCGCUACCAAAGGAGAACAACCAUCCAGGAGAGCAACCAGCAACGUGUCUACAGCAAAUAGCAAAAGGAAUCUUUCCCAACACCUGCGUGAUCGCUGGAUGCGGGUGGGGGGUGUGGGAGCAUGCCAGGGACUGCAGCUCCGGAGGCUUCGCUCUGCAGGAAUUGAUACCAGAUGACUUGGCCAUACAAAUCUGAUACAGAUCCCACCACGGCCAUGUGACUGCUUCCACCAAAUUAGAUACAGCACAUGAUGCACAGCCUGUGCCAGCUUCGGGCAGGAUGUUGAAAGACAGACAAUGAGGAUGAAUAGUCUUAAAGACAGAGCAGAGCAGUCAGCCACCACCUAGUCAAUCAGCGAUCUCUGCAGACUUAACUCGUGCAAAAUGGUGAGCAAGCUUAGAACUGCAGCAUUAGGAUACACUGGACCGCAGCUCUGAAUCGCAGGGCCAUAACGCUCCCUUUGGUAGCUGGAAAUGCAAAGCCAGAGGAGCCAGUGCUGCACCCCAAGACAGCAGAUGACGUUGAGAAGUCUGACCUCGUGGUAUAGAAAACAGUUACAGAACUCACACUACCCUGCCUGCUCCACCUCUGGUGACUUCCCAAAUGCUGAAGAAAAUCAAAACAAUCAAGAAAAAAAAAAAAACACCAGAAAACCCCAGCAAACAGACCCCAAAGCCAAACCUUCUGCUGCUGGUUCAUUCCAGGCCAUUUUUCAUCCCACUUAUCACUGCCACCAACGUUUUGCUUAGUCUUGAAGAAAACGUUGUCAUUCCACAGUCAGAUGUUUUUACAUUUCCAUCCAUCAUCGCCUGAUAUAUCCUGACCUUAGUUAAAUCUUAUGUUUUCUAAAUUGUACUUUUAUGUUGAGCAGGCCCUGAGGCUAUGCUGUUAAAAGUUUACAUUGAAAAAUCAUUUAUAAUUGGUUUGUUUGAGUUAUGCCUGUUGCAAAGCCAUCAGAAAGGGCAGUAUUAAUUAAAGAUGGCUUACAUAUAGUCUAGACAAUAAAAAAGUAUAUCAUUUUAUCUUUGUAAAAAGCUUUUAGCAUUUUACCAGUUACGGCAAAUGAUGUUGAUAUAAAUUACAUUAAAGAAAAAAAAAUCACAGAAUGGCUU